GAAAGCUGGAUGAGAUCGAAAGACUCAUGUCCGGUUUGGAGAGGGGGGUGCCCGGAAAAGUGCCGUGAUAAACGGUAACUCGCUGGCGCUCUACUCUAC
rnacentral:ncRNA from 2 species